UGCCCGGGAGCUGUCGAGGCGGCUCGCUGCUUGUCCGAAGCGGGUUCGGAGGCGGAGCGGGUGGUGAGAACCGCGCCGGCCUCGCUUGGCGCGCUCGCUCUUGGCGGCGCCAUCCCCGGCGCCCGAGGUCGAGCACGCCAUCGCCGCGGCUCCCCCAGCAUCUCUCCUCCGCAGCCCUAGGGCUCCCCUGGGUGGUCAGCUGCGCGCUGCGAAGGCCUCUGGGAAGCGCUUCCUUGCAGGUUUGGGUACCAUCUCAGCUCGGAGUAGAGUCAAAGCAUCGUUAAGUGUACUUCCUGGUUUUGCUCACCUCAAGAGGCCCCUGUGGAAGUAUUUCUCCUGCUACCUGGCAUGCAGUAGUCAUCGCCCCCUCCUCUGUGCUCUAAUGCCACUCUGUUCAAACUGCUGGUAUGGAAAUUAGAGAAAUGGUUAGCCCAUGUUUUACUAAAGGACAGCGAAAACUGUUGCAGAGUAUUAUGUCUACGGUGAACUCCCUCAUUUCUCCUGGAAACAGCCCCUGCUCAUCAAGUAUUUGGUCUCCCUGGGAGGUGCUGUGUUUUUAUAGGAGCAGACACACCAUAGACACUGGGUACAGGGAUGGACAGCUGGACACAUUGGGCCAUGAAGUCUUUGCCCAGCCUUUUGAAUUUCAAAACGGUAAGGAAGUUAAGGAAGCCCCUCCCAAGUAGUUGAAAGCUGAAAGAUAAGAAUGGAUUUGGCCCUAGCUGGUGUGGCUCAGUGGAUAAAGCGUCGGCCUGCGGACCUAACGGUCCCAGGUGCGAUUCCGGUCAAGGGCAUAUGCCUGUUUUCAGGCUCGAUCCCCAGUAGGGGGCGUGCAGGAGGCAGCCAAUCAAUGAUUCUCUCUCAUCAUUGAUGUUUCUCUCACUCUCCCUCUCUGAAUCAAUAAAAAUAUAUUAAAAAAAACAAAACAAAAAGAAUGGAAUUGUUGCCAGGCUGUAAUUAGAGAAGCAGAUUUAAAUCCCUGGUUCAGUGGUUUCUGAGUACAGCUAAGUCCCUCUUCCUACAAACCUGUCCAAUUAUUAACUCCAUGAGCCAAUAAAUUGUCCUUUUGCCCUUAGCUAUUUUGAGCUAAAUUUCUAUCCCUUGCAAAGGAAAAAGUAAAAACAAACAAAAAAACAGUAACAAAGUCUGUGGAGAUGGGUGCUAAAAUUGUUUUGCAUAAAAAAGGUUUAAAAAAAUUGGAAUUUGGGGCACUCAGAAAAGGGGAGGGUGAAAGGUAGAAAGAAAAGGAAAAUUGAAAGGUGGCAGGAUUGAUAAAGGCUAAAUGUUGUGACACCUUCCCCAACCCAAUGUUUCCAGUAAAUUCUACCAGACUCAGUUUUGGUGUGGGUUUUUUUGUUGUUGUUGUAGAAAUCGGAAAAGAGCAUGUCUCAUGUUUGGGUCACUGUAGUCUAGAACCACAGGGUUGGGCAACAUAGCAGAACUCAAGAAGCAGAAGAGGCCAGGAGAGUUUACAAGCAUUGGAAAUAAACAGGAAUAUUGAAUGAACCAGGCUUUCAACUUCUGCAGGCUGGGUACCAGGAGGUUUUGAUACAUUUUUGCCUAGACCUCAAGGGGGCGGAGUAAGGCCCCAGCUGAUAUCUGGACUUUAUUAAUAUGAAGAAUAAUAUUAAAUAAUAUAGACUAGAAACCAGCAUGUUUGUAAACAUUUAUUUUAAAGCCCUGUUAUUGUAAGUAUAGUGAACUUUAAAAAAUAUUUGUCUACUAUUUGCUCUCUGGAUUACUAAAUGCAUCCUUGUUGUCAGUAUCCUUAUAAAAUUCAUCGUGAAUAACCUGAUGUGUUUUAAAUCAUUGUGAUGGUUAAUUUUAUGUGUCAACCUUACUGGGCUACAGAGUGCUCAUAUACUUGUUCAAAUUUUUUCUGGGUGUUUGUACAGGGAUGCUUUUAUUUGGAAUUAAAACAUUUUAAUGAGUAAA